rnacentral:rRNA from 1 species
CUACGUGCCAGCAGCCGCGGUAAUACGGAGGGUGCAAGCGUUAAUCGGAAUUACUGGGCGUAAAGCGCACGCAGGCGGUUUGUUAAGUCAGAUGUGAAAUCCCCGCGCUUAACGUGGGAACUGCAUUUGAAACUGGCAAGCUAGAGUCUUGUAGAGGGGGGUAGAAUUCCAGGUGUAGCGGUGAAAUGCGUAGAGAUCUGGAGGAAUACCGGUGGCGAAGGCAGCCUCCUGGGAUAACACUGACGUUCAUGCUCGAAAGCGUGGGUAGCAAACAGGAUUAGAUACCCUGGUAGUCCACGCCCUAAACGAUGUCAAUUAGCUGUUGGGCAACUUGAUUGCUUAGUAGCGUAGCUAACGCGUGAAAUUGACCGCCUGGGGAGUACGGUCGCAAGAUUAAAACUCAAAGGAAUUGACGGGGACCCGCACAAGCGGUGGAUGAUGUGGAUUAAUUCGAUGCAACGCGAAGAACCUUACCUGGUCUUGACAU